rnacentral:misc_RNA from 1 species
CAGAGUUCAUGCCCGAAAGGGUAGACCUCCCACCCUUGUGUAUUUAUACUUUGUUGCUUUGGCGAUGUGCUUUCGGGCACUCGCCAGAGAAUACCAAAACUCUUUUUAUUAAUGUCGUCUGAGUACUAUAUAAUAGUUA